GUAGAAAGUCAGUUUGGGUUUUCUGCCAGUUAAAACUUCUAUCUGCUUCAACUCAUCCAAAACUGAUUAUUGCAUCUAAUACCUUUUCUAUAUGGGUAUCUUUGAGUUGGUUUGCUGUGAAUUAUAUCCACCUGCUGGCUAGUGCACUUUAAGCAUUAUGUAUAUUGGUAGAAUGGAGGUCAUGGUUUUCUCAUUCUGAUGUUCAUUAUGAAAUUGGCUUAUUAUUGCAA
rnacentral:misc_RNA from 1 species